GCAAGGCGAGAAGGAACAUGGCGCAUGCGCGCGGCAGGAAGGGCGUCUCCGGGAGGGAGCGGCCUCCGCUCAGCGCGAGACUGCUGGGCGCAGGGUGGGACCGCGCUGGCGCGGAGACUGCUUCCGGACUCCAGGUAUCGCGCUUGCUGGGCUGUAGAAUUGCGACCUUGCCAAUGGACCUGAUUGGUUUUGGUUAUGCAGCCCUCGUGACAUUUGGAAGCAUUUUUGGAUAUAAGCGGAGAGGUGGUGUUUUGUCUUUGAUUGCUGGUCUUUUUGUUGGCUGUUUGGCUGGCUAUGGCGCUUACCGUGUCUCCAACGACAAACGAGAUGUAAAAGUGUCACUGUUUACAGCUUUCUUCCUGGCCACCAUAAUGGGUGUGAGAUUUAAGAGGUCCAAGAAAAUAAUGCCUGCUGGUCUGGUUGCAGGUUUAAGCCUCAUGAUGAUCCUAAGACUCGUCUUGUUGCUGCUCUGAGCAUCUGGAGGAACUGAAAAUUAAGUUCAUGUCAUCCUGCUAUAAUGGGCAGAGCAUAUUCUUUGUAUUUAAACGAUAAACUUCAAGAUGGAAUGCUAGAAACACGAGUAGCUCUGUCACUUCUAAUAUGAACAUGAGUUUGAGGUAAAAAGAGCAUCGGUGGUCACAGUCAUGAGAGAAAUUGGUGGAAUCACUGGAAGUAACCACGGAUGCUGUGCCGGGAUUUUCCAUUUCUACUGUGGUUUGUUCUGUGCAUAAACUUAGUUUUUUCAGGAGUUACCAACAGUUCCAUUCAGGAUUUAUUUGGAAUCAUGCAGUCUCAUCACAACAGCAAGGAGACUCCUUGACUUUGUUGGUAUUGAACAAAUCUGGCUGCUUCGUCCUUCUAUCAUGUGUCAAGAUAACCCUAGCAUCCUGGGCACCAGCCUCUACUAGCCCUGCUCAGCCGUUCCAGUCCAUAUAAUUGGUUGGUAAUUUGGGUUCCACGGGACAUCAUUCUUGGAAUUACUGGGACUUGAGAUUCAGCUUCUUUGUAGCCUUCCCUCCCCAGUCCUUCAUCUACAGACUCCCAAACAGUCUAUGCUUGUCCUAAGCUGUUGGCUGAAGUCCAGCCUCUGAAGACCUGAGCAACUGGAAUCAUGAUUCGCAUCCUCCUCAGUUCAUGGUUCAUCCGUGUUUGGAAACCUCUGUCAGGGUGCUAUAUCCAUGGACUGCAUCCUCUUCGAGAAUCACCCUCGCCUGAACCCACCCCAUGUUCACUGUUCCCUCACCUCCACGGGACUCUGCAGUACAGCACUUCAGCGUACACACCUAAGGCCCACCUGCUGCUGGUCAUGUUGCCCCUGCCAUGGUCCCACCCACUCAAGGAAGCACCUAAAUCACUCUGUGCUCUCUGUUGACGGAAGAACAGAAAAUAUACCGUACAGGGCUCUCUCCUUUAUGUCUUUCCCAUAGAGGUUGUAUUUGCUGGCAAUGUAGUUGAGAAUGGCUCUGCUCUGCACCAGCUUCAUCCCGUCAAUCUCAACCAUUGGCACUUGCUGGAACAUCAAAUA